rnacentral:ncRNA from 2 species
UUCGCGCAAAAUGCAGCAAGUCUAAGCAUUCGCUUUAGGGAAGUUGGUGAAAGUCCAACACUGCCCCCGCAACGGUAAAAAUGAAAAACAUAUCAAUGAAAUCUUUUUUAAGAUUGACGCCACUGCACUAAAGGUGCGGGAAGGUGGAUAUGCAAAUAUCAACGCUUUGAUAUUACGUUUUAGUCCGGAAACCUGCUUGUUGCUCCUUUAACUC